UUGGUCAAUUUCGUUUGGGCAGAGAGGAGAAAGAAGAUAGAACAGAACGCGCACACAUUUAUUUUUUUGUUGAAAUUGAAAACCCAAUCACAUGUUGCCACAUCGACGGUUCUCUCAAAUUCUCAAAACUCUCUCCAGAAAGCCGACUCUCUUGAUUUUUAUCAGUUUUAAUUUAUUUUUAUUGUCAUUAAACAAGAGAGCCCAACAAUUUUUUGAUUACAUCCUCUCGUUGGAGAUGGUCUU